GAUGAAGAAAGUUCUGGAGAUGGAUGGUGGUGAUGGGAGCAAUGUGAACAUACUUAAUGCCACUAUACACUGAAAAAUGGUUAAAAUGGUAAAUUUGUGUUAUGUGUGUUUCACCAUGAUAAAAACAAAAACUAUAAUAAUUUGAGCCAUUGCUCUGCCCCUGGGAAGAGCCCUGCUCUCUAGAAUGCUCAGCCUUGCCCUGGCCUUGAAGCUCUCCAGAGAAGGCGGGAUCGCAUCCUCCCCUGCCCUGCCCAGCAUCCCACACCUCUGGAGACAGACCUUCGUUGAGUCCUUCGGCUCCACACCACAAUAAGUCAUUCUGGGACAGGAGGGAUUUGUGUCACGCAUGAGUCAGAGACUGGCCUAACAGAACAGAAGGAAAUGAUACUUUUUCUCAUGGGGGAAGCCAAAGGCAGAGAUUCUCAUAGGAAACGUAGAUGACAUGAAAAGCUUCCAAGCGAUGAGAUCUUAUGUCAGCCGGUGUGUGCGGCCCCAAACAGGACCAGUUUCACUUUGCCCACGUGUAAACGUGUAAGGCCAUACAUUUAGGGAAAAUAAGUAAAGCCCUGUCCACGAUUGGGAGUUGCCAGUGGUCUGACACGGCCCAGCCAAUCUAAGAAGUUGUUGGAAACAUUCUGCUCAAGGCUUUGGACUAAUGUGCUGCUUUGGACAAAAAGACCAGCCAAACGGCCAGACGUUACAGUGAGGGUGCUGGGAACAGCCGGCGUUCGGUUCUGACCUCGGCAAAACUGGACGCGUAGCCUGUCGCUCCGUCUCGAAGGGAUUGUCCUCUCGAGAUUUGCCCUGGCAGCCCUGUGGAGCAGGUCGGAGAGGAGAGAUGGAAGGUGGGCAGCGUUCUCCGGAGGCUACUGCGUGAUGUGCGGGGUCUGCAUAGAUGAUGAUGAGCAAGUAACGGCUGGCAUCGACCGAGGGCCUUCUAAGUGGCAGCCAGCGCUCUGGGCUCUCGCAGACAUUACUGUCUAGUCUUCACAGCUGCCCUGCUUGGUCUAACACAGGGCUCCCCACAGCUGCCGGCAGACCACACCUGUAGACACUCAACUAAGGCUUCUGGAAGGAACACAACGUUGCUCCCUACCCCCUUCUACGUCCCUGCUGUCCUUGGGCCUGAGCAGGGGGCACUUCCAGGCACGAUCCCCAGAAUUCCUGCAUUUCAGGUGUCCCUCCAACCGGCCCCUACCGUGGCCUCUCUAUACCCAGGCAGUUCUAUUACUGGAAAGGAGAUGGGGGUGAGGGCAGGACCUGCAGGGUGAGUAAUAGAUAAAGUCAUUUAAAAAAUGCCUGCAAAUGGUAAGCCUGUUAGCUGUUAUUCUUAUUAUAACUGGGCUCCAUGAAUGCAGAGCUUAGGGACUUUGGCACCAAUGACCAGGUUUAAAGAGGGAC
rnacentral:lncRNA from 1 species